AUUGUUUGCCCUUGGCAAGCAUGCACACUGCAGCCUUUAUCCCUGUUCCAGCACAGCAACCAGUGGAUUUGGUGUGACUAAAAAAUAAAAUGCUUAGAGCUGAGCUCUGGGUGGCCUGCUGAACCUUUUGGCUGAGUCCUAUUGCCCUGCUGACCCAAAUGGACACGUGAGAAGCCAGAGCAUUUUGUUAAUAUGCAGGAGUUUCCUCCGAGGGCCACGAAAAGCCUCUAUGACUCAAAGAAAAUUAGGUUCCUCAGCAGUAAACUGCCCUUUGGGGAAAAGGAAAAGAAAUUCCAGAGGAGGGAAGGGAAAAAGAAAGAAUAAAUUUCAACUGCUCCUCUCAAUUAUAAUUAAAAACACCAAGGGCAGUAAAUGGCAGUUGCUCAUUUCAGAUGUUCGCUUGCCUCUGUCGUCUUCCAACUGGUUUCCACGUUAAUUUCUCCCUGAGUUUCUGCGAAGCUUAGCUGGAGUUGCAGUUCAUGUUCUGCAGCAACCAUGUGUGCUGGAACUCCAGCACGCCAGCAGUUUCCUGACAAACAUCAAAGGUUUGGAUCCCAGGGUUGACCUUCCGUCACUCAAGAGCAUUUCAAAUGGUAAUCUUCAGACUGCAACGAAAACUCUGGGUGAGUAAGAACAAGAGAAGGAUAUACCAAAUUUGACCAACCUUGGCGCGAUGGAAGUCAGUUUUACUUCAAAAAUAAUUUACUUAUCUGUGUCUCCUGCUUUUCCCACUUUCCAACAAGCUAAACAGCAGAGAGCAAGCAGGUGUUGCUAAUAAUUAUAUUAUCACUUGUUGUCAUGCUAUGGGUGGUAUUAGUUUCGAAGUGGCUUAAAAUCUUGGUUAUUUUACCAAAGAGAAGUGGCAACUUGAGGAAAGAAAGGUGAUAAUGUUCCUGUUAUGAACUCCAUGUUUGCGUCCACCAAAAUUCCUGUGUUGAAGCUUAGGUCCCCAGUGUGAUUUAUUUGAGAUGGGGACUUGGGGAGGUAGUUAGGUCAUAAGGGUAGAGCUGUCCUGAUGCUAUUGGUGUCCUUAUAAGAAGAGACACCCUUUACCUCCACCUCUGCCCCUCCUUCUUCCCCUCCCCCUCUCCCACCUUCUUCCUCUCUCAUGUGGGGAUACAGCCAGAAGGCAGCUGUCUACAAGCCAGAAAGUGGUCCUCACCAGACAUCGAUCUGCCUCACCUUGAUCUUGGACUUCCCAGCCUCCAAAACUGUGAGAAAAAAGUUUGUGAUUUAAGCCACCCAGUCUGUUUUGGAGUUUUUUGUUGUUGUUGUUAUAACAGCCUGAAUUGAUUAAGACAGUUCCUAAUAAUAGCACUUUUGCUGGCAUAAGAUGCGCUCAGAGAAGCCAGAAAAAGUUAUUGAGUUGUCCCCCUCCUUUUUUUGUUGACUGCCUGAGAGAUUCUGUAACGUUUCCAGAUUCAACCAGUGAUCAAGAAGCUCUAAGGACUCUCUAAUGAUGAACAAUCUUCACCUGGGAAGAGAAAGCUUCGACUUCUUGCAGCAGGAAAAGAGAGGAAUUCGAUUAGAAAGAACGAAUAAAAAGUAUACAGACAAAAGUAUUUACA
rnacentral:lncRNA from 1 species